rnacentral:rRNA from 1 species
UACGUAGGGUGCAAGCGUUGUCCGGAAUUAUUGGGCGUAAAGAGCUCGUAGGCGGUUUGUCGCGUCUGCUGUGAAAACUCGGGGCUUAACUCCGGGCCUGCAGUGGGUACGGGCAGACUAGAGUGUGGUAGGGGAGACUGGAAUUCCUGGUGUAGCGGUGAAAUGCGCAGAUAUCAGGAGGAACACCGAUGGCGAAGGCAGGUCUCUGGGCCAUAACUGACGCUGAGAAGCGAAAGCAUGGGGAGCGAACAGG